UCAUAAGCGAAGAAGCAGUUGAGUAGUGUGCCCGGCGCCGGUCCAGAGAUCUAACGGUGCUGUGAGUUAGAACGUCCGGUAGCAUGAAUUACGCUGUGGAGCGGCUGGUAUCGUCCAGCGGGUCAUUCCGUUAACGAUGACGAGCGGUUGCCUGAUGAGGGCAGCAACUUGGGUGGUAACGCGGAUUGUUUAAUUCGUCCCUGAU
rnacentral:ncRNA from 1 species